rnacentral:rRNA from 1 species
UACGGAAGGUCCGGGCGUUAUCCGGAUUUAUUGGGUUUAAAGGGAGCGCAGGCGGGCAUUUAAGCGUGACGUGAAAUGUGGCGGCUCAACCGCCGAACUGCGUCGCGAACUAGGUGCCUUGAGUGAGUGCGACGUCAGCGGAAUUCGUGGUGUAGCGGUGAAAUGCUUAGAUAUCACGAAGAACCCCGAUUGCGAAGGCAGCUGACGAGUCCUUUACUGACGCUAAAGCUCGAAAGUGCGGGUAUCGAAC